rnacentral:rRNA from 1 species
CCUACGGGUGGCAGCAGUGGGGAAUAUUGGACAAUGGGCGAAAGCCUGAUCCAGCCAUGCCGCGUGUGUGAAGAAGGCCUUCGGGUUGUAAAGCACUUUCAGUGGGGAAGAAAGCCUUGGGGCUAAUACCCUCGAGGAAGGACAUCACCCACAGAAGAAGCACCGGCUAACUCCGUGCCAGCAGCCGCGGUAAUACGGAGGGUGCGAGCGUUAAUCGGAAUUACUGGGCGUAAAGCGCGCGUAGGCGGUCUGAUAAGCCGGUUGUGAAAGCCCCGGGCUCAACCUGGGAACGGCAUCCGGAACUGUCAGGCUAGAGUGCAGGAGAGGAAGGUAGAAUUCCCGGUGUAGCGGUGAAAUGCGUAGAGAUCGGGAGGAAUACCAGUGGCGAAGGCGGUCUUCUGGACUGACACUGACGCUGAGGUGCGAAAGCGUGGGUAGCAAACAGGAUUAGAUACCCGUGUAGUC